GGGAUUAGAUACCCCACUAUGUUUAGCCCUAAACUUUUAUUCGCCCGAGCACUACGAGCCACAGCUUAAAAUUCAAAGGACUUGGCGGUGCUCUAUANCCCCCUAGAGGAGCCUGUUCUAUAAUCGAUAAUCCCCGAUAAACCUCACCACCCCUUGCUAAUACAGCUUAUAUACCACCGCCCUCAGCUUACCCUUUUAAGGAAAAAAAGUAAACAAAAAAAUUUAAAAUAAAAAAGUCAGGUCAAGGUGUAGCACAUGAGGUGGAAAGAAAUGGGCUACAUUUUCUACUUUAGAAAAUACGAAUUGUCUUAUGAAAUAAAACAUAAAGGAGGAUUUAGAAGUAAAGAAAAAAAAGAGUGUUCUCUUUAAAUAGGCAAUAGAGCACGCACACACCGCCCGUCACCCUCCUCAANC
rnacentral:rRNA from 1 species